UGGGGGAAUAUUGCACAAUGGGCGCAAGCCUGAUGCAGCAACGCCGCGUGAGGGACGACGGCCUUCGGGUUGUAAACCUCUUUUAGUAGGGAAGAAGCGAAAGUGACGGUACCUGCAGAAAAAAGCACCGGCUAACUACGUGCCAGCAGCCGCGGUAAUACGUAGGGUGCGAGCGUUGCCCGGAAUUAUUGGGCGUAAAGAGCUCGUAGGCGGUCUGUCGCGUCUGCUGUGAAAACCCGAGGCUCAACCUCGGGCCUGCAGUGGGUACGGGCAGACUAGAGUGCGGUAGGGGAGAAUGGAAUUCCUGGUGUAGCGGUGGAAUGCGCAGAUAUCAGGAGGAACACCGAUGGCGAAGGCAGUUCUCUGGGCCGUAACUGACGCUGAGGAGCGAAAGCGUGGGGAGCGAACAGGAUUAGAUACCCUGGUAGUCCACACCGUAAACGUUGGGCGCUAGAUGUGGGGACCAUUCCACGGUUUCCGUGUCGCAGCUAACGCAUUAAGCGCCCCGCCUGGGGAGUACGGCCGCAAGGCUAAAACUCAAAGGAA
rnacentral:rRNA from 1 species